rnacentral:rRNA from 1 species
UGGGUCCUACGGGACGCAGCAGUGAGGAAUAUUGGUCAAUGGACGGAAGUCUGAACCAGCCAUGCCGCGUGCAGGAAGACGGCUCUAUGAGUUGUAAACUGCUUUUGUACAAGGGUAAACCUGAAUACGUGUAUUCAGCUGAAAGUACUGUACGAAUAAGGAUCGGCUAACUCCGUGCCAGCAGCCUCGGUAAUACGGAGGAUCCAAUCGUUAUCCGGAUUUAUUGGGUUU